GAGGGGAGAUACAGGAAGGGGAGGAAUGAUUAUGAUAAAUAACGAAGACUAGACCCAGGAACCAAGAUGUGGGAAACCAGGGUGUGGGAAUGGAGAGAAGGGGACAAGUAGGAGAGAUGUUGGGGAGAAAUACUUGACCAUGCUUGAUAUUUUAUUGGAUUUGGAGCAGAGUGAGAGAGAGAGAGAGAGAGAGAGAGAGAGAGAGAGAGAGAGAGAGAGAGAGAAGCAAGGAAGACUUGGAGUUGCCCACUGAGAUACCAGGAAGGAAGGUAGAAAUAAGGAAAUGGAGAAAAAGGAUGAAUUGGGGCAGAGUUAGAAGAGUCUGAUCCAGAAGUUUUUGAGCUUGAGACAACUAUGGAACAACCAAAUACAGAGAUCCAUUAAGCAGCUGGGGAUGCAGGAUUGGAGGUCAGAGAGCUAAGAGCUAAAUGUAUAGAUGUGUGAGUCAUGCCAUGCUCAACCCCUUCAUUUUACAGGUGAAGAAACAGACUAAUGAAGUUAAAUGCCUGCCCAAGAUCGCAUAUGGAUCCACCCAAGAUGGUGCAACCAUGCAGAAGACACUGAGGACCUGCUUCCCAAAGACUGAGAGAACAGAGAAUGUGAGGUCAAUCUGUGUUGGCUUACCACAUCACCAGAUGAGGCAACUGAGGCUGGGGGAGAAGCGGUGACUUGCCCAAGAUCUCACAGGUCUGGAAUGGGGGGGGGCGGCAAAAAUCCUGGCUGGGAGGGAGCCUUGGAGGAGUUUAAUUCAGUUUUCUUUCUCCAGCUUAACC
rnacentral:lncRNA from 1 species